AUCUCACGCGAGGAGCAUGAGCCUCCGCUCGCUAUCAUCCUCCACCACCACAACCACUCCUCCUUUUCCCCAUCCCUUUAAAUCCAUCAGAGGCCCCAAGCAAACCCUAGCCUCUCCCCUCGCGCCGCCAUCUUCUUUUUCCUUCUAAUUCAUCUCUGUGUACACCACCGAGCGCCACCACCACAAGCUCGCCGUCGCGCCACCGUUCUAUACAACCCCGCGUCCAACCAACGCCACCAGGAGCUGCGUCUCGUCGCCAAGAUCUUCCUCGCCCAAGGAAUCAUCCGGGGGCGCCUCGUACCGACAGCAAAUCGCGGAUUCUUCUUCGACUCCGGCGAGGAAAUCAACGUUUUUCGUCGCCACUGCUUCGUCCCCGUCUCCAUCGAGCGCUCCGCUGUUUUCCUGGUUAGCUGGCGCGCCUUAUCCCCCACUUCCCCGAGCUGGUUGAUCACUUCAUGUCGUCCCUUAUUUUUGUCGAAACCUAACGGCUCUCCUUGUGCCCGAGGUCGCCACCAUGUCCGUCGUCUCCGUCCGCGGUGACCCUCCAACCCGUGCGUGUUCCUGGCGUCUGCGUCUCCGACUCGUAUGACUACAGCAGCAACCUCCCGUGCUUUGCUUCUUCACGGGUAGGAUCACGAAGUGUUGAUGUGAGAUACGACGAGUUCUCCGACAAGUUCUUCUGCAGCAUUUCACAGACGAGCCCUCUCUCUUCACCUAUUAUACACUCUCCCUCGCAUUGCUAUCCUUAUGUUGCGCUUCUUUAUCGAGUCACGUGUCCUAUUCCACUUGUUUACCAUAAUAAUCCUAUAUGUAUCAUUCCUUACCCAUAGCCGUUGCUUGAUGUGUGAGCCUUGCGAGUCGUAGGCGUGUUUAGGCUCUGUUGUUUAUCUCGAUCUGUUAUCGGGAUAUGUUGGGUUGUUGGGAGGUUAUCACAUGCUAUAUCAGUUGUUGGAGAUACACAUGCUUUACUUAACUGUUAACAACUAAAAUUGUAAGCAGAGGCAUCUGUGAGCCCCUUUGCGAAAGCAUCGGAACUUUGACUUGCUAAUGUCCCCUAGGACCCGAGUUUUUGUUAUCUGUUCCGAGAUUGAGCGCUCUACCCGUACGUGGGGGAAUGGGACCCCCAUCACCCACUACCUUUUCUCGAUUCUGUUUACUGGGAGCUACAACCUUGGUUUUAUUUGCUCAUAUGCACGAUGCACGAUUUACUUCCUGUUGCCUUCGGGUGUUUAUAUUCUGUACUGUACUCAUAUUGCGUGCCGACUUAUCCUUGGCCGGUCGUUAGUGCCCGCCUUGGACGCCAUCGCAACCUCUGGGUCCGUAUCGGAGUACGGCCGAACUUCGUCACGGGAAGCUUAGUUGGGUGGCUCCCAUUAAACUUUCUCUUGCAUUGGGAACGGUCUUGUUGUGAGACUCCACCUGUAGCAAGUGGGUUCGAGCAUGCGUAUGGUUACAUUUGGGCAACCCCUGCAGGAUGUACAUCUUAUCGAUAAGCCGUGUCCGCGGUUAUGGACGACUUGGAAUUGUAUAGCUUGAUCAUAGAACAACUUACACCUUUAUGUUGUUGAUAAUAAUUUGCUAAUAACUUGAUUAGUAAUAUAGCAUUACUACAACCGAUACCUAAUAAAACUUGUCCACCGUUGAGUGCCUUUUACAUUGCCUCUUCGCAAUUGUUGGAGGGGAUAUGUGUAAUCGGCUGGGUUAUGUUUGUGUGGUAUUUAUCUGUUACCUUGUGCGCUCUCUUAUCUUAUCUGAUUAGACGGAUGUUGUAGCGUGUCUCUAUUGGUUAUAGUUUUGCUGCCGCUAAACCUACCAUAUAGCCCCCGGCGAUAUAUAUAUUAUACUCGCCCGGCGAGCAUAGCCAUUUCUAGUCUCGCUAAGUACGUGCCGGAGUUCGUUCCUUGGUACUUACUCUCGCCUUUUCCCCUUUCUCUUUUGCUUCCUCCCUCUUGUCGGCAACCGAUGGCCCGACUUUGACAGGUACAAGAUGACGACGUUAGCAAGGUUACCCUUCCGGUUUGGCCUGGGCAGGGUUAUGGACGCCACUGGUUAUCUUCAGGACUCUUAGUCCAAUUUGUAUCUUGUCCGUACUCGGACGUAUUCGAUCAUCUGUAUGAUUUGGAUCUUUGUAUUGUAUAUUUGUAUCUUGACUCGUUGGAGUCGUUGUUGUAAUAUAUGUAUCUUGUGGGCUCUAUUGUAAUCCUGUUGUAAUGUUACCGCUCGUGUUAAUUCCUCUGGCAUCACGUGUGUGAUUCGUCGCGCACGUCGUGUCGGAGGGCGUCUCAGAAUCGAUAUCGUGCGGAUUUCGGCGGGAUCACUGGAAUCCUCAGGAUACCGGUUUCGGGGCGUCACAAGUUGGUAUCAGAGCUCAGGUUGACGGUACCCCAAUAGUCCAGCCUGUAGGAUAACCUUGCCAACGGACGUUGUGUCUAGUGUCAAAACUAUUUUUCUGAAAAGUCGUUGGAUAUAUCUGAUUAGCUCUGAAUUUUUCUCCUUACCUAAAUUCUUUCUCCUCUUAUCUUUGCGAGUUUUGAGUCUUCUCUCUUAUCUGCUUCUCCGAGUCUUAGGUUCCGACGUGGGUUGGACGAUCUAUUCCUUCACCUAUUAGGACCGAUCUCUGAAUAUUUCUGAUAGAAGAACAUCACCGACGGCUAACCUUCGUCUUCUCCAUUGAUGUCAUCCAUGCCUCUUUGAUCUCUCUACAAUUCUUUGUUCUUUGGCUCCGUCGAAUCUUCGCUGACAACGCUUGUCGAUAUCGUCAAUCAGAAUUCUGGGAGCUGUUACACGACUCUCCUAUUCAUGUGCAGAGUAAUACUUUGAGUGCGGGAUGGGCUGAUCACCAUACCGACUACUCUUAUUAUUCGCUCUUGUUACGAUGAAUUGGUGGAUCCGUGCGACUGUUACGCCUUUCUUUGUUUCUCCGGAGUUAUCAUCAUCAUCGGAACAACGACUUCUUGUUGGUGGUGUCGACCGUUCUACAUGGAGCAAGAACUCUUGUUAGUGGUGUCGAGGAGAUCGACACGUCGCCAAAAGAUCCGAUAUUUCACCUCUCUCCCCCGUACCUUGAGGUGGAACCUCGGGGCGAGGUUCCUUGUUAGUGGUGUCGAUUGUAACGACCCGGAAAAAAAACCUAAUAUUAGUUUUUCUCCGCCUUAUUUUUCCGUGCCGUUCCAAAGUCAUCAUCAUGCAUACAUCAUAAAAAAUGAAUUUUUACAAAAUGAAAUUUAUUUGCAAAUAAAAGUAUUUAGUAGUUUCUUCUCAUAUGGUUCUAGAAAACCCUCCUCUCUCAUAUUUCUUAUUUUAGUUAAAACCAAAACAAAUAUUUUGGAACUUUGCAAAGUUAUUCUAAAACCAAAAUCUAGUUUUUCAAAUCUGUCAAAAUCCUCCUCUAGUCCUUUUGUUUGGCUGGAAGUUUUCAGCAAGAAAAGAAGAGAAGAAGUAGCAACCAGCGACCCAACUACCUGACCGACUUUUUCUCCAACGAAGCAACCCACCUAAGGCUCAGUACCUUUUCUACACGAGGAAGUUCCUGUGGCUUUAUUCUCCAUCUCACGCGAGGAGCAUGAGCCUCCGCUCGCUAUCAUCCUCCACCACCACAACCACUCCUCCUUUUCCCUAUCCCUUUAAAUCCAUCAGAGGCCCCAAGCAAACCCUAGCCUCUCCCCUCGCGCCGCCAUCUUCUUUUUCCUUCCAAUUCAUCUCUGUGUACACCACCGAGCGCCACCACCACAAGCUCGCCGUCGCGCCACCGUUCUAUACAACCCCGCGUCCAACCAACGCCACCAGGAGCUGCGUCUCGUCGCCAAGAUCUUCCUCGCCCAAGGAAUCAUCCGGGGGCGCCUCGUACCGACAGCAAAUCGCGGAUUCUUCUUCGACUCCGGCGAGGAAAUCAACGUUUUUCGUCGCCACUGCUUCGUCCCCGUCUCCAUCGAGCGCUCCGCUGUUUUCCUGGUUAGCUGGCGCGCCUUAUCCCCCACUUCCCCGAGCUGGUUGAUCACUUCAUGUCGUCCCUUAUUUUUGUCGAAACCUAACGGCUCUCCUUGUGCCCGAGGUCGCCACCAUGUCCGUCGUCUCCGUCCGCGGUGACCCUCCAACCCGUGCGUGUUCCUGGCGUCUGCGUCUCCGACUCGUAUGACUACAGCAGCAACCUCCCGCGAGUCGUCAGCUCAGGCCGCGCGUUUGCGCCAGCUCGUGCCCUCCUAGGCUUGCUCUAUCACGGCGCCCCUUCUCAAUACAUGAAUCAACUAUAGUCAGCACGUCUGCUCCCUCGUCCGUUGUAUUGUUGAUCAGUGCUUUGCUUCUUCACGGGUAGGAUCACGAAGUGUUGAUGUGAGAUACGACGAGUUCUCCGACAAGUUCUUCUGCAGCAUUUCACAGGCGAGCCCUCUCUCUUCACCUAUUAUACACUCUCCCUCGCAUUGCUAUCCUUAUGUUGCGCUUCUUUAUCGAGUCACGUGUCCUAUUCCACUUGUUUACCAUAAUAAUCCUAUAUGUCUCAUUCCUUACCCAUAGCCGUUGCUUGAUGUGUGAGCCUUGCGAGUCGUAGGCGUGUUUAGGCUCUGUUGUUUAUCUCGAUCUGUUAUCGGGAUAUGUUGGGUUGUUGGGAGGUUAUCACAUGCUAUAUCAGUUGUUGGAGAUACACAUGCUUUACUUAACUGUUAACAACUAAAAUUGUAAGCGGAGGCAUCUGUGAGCCCCUUUGCGAAAGCAUCGGAACUUUGACUUGCUAAUGUCCUGAUGUAGCCCCGCUCAC